rnacentral:lncRNA from 1 species
UUUAUUGAAAUUUCAUAGUUUGCUUUGGCCAAAAGACCUAUAGAAAUGACAUUCAAAAGAAAAUUGGGACAGUAAUGACAAUCAUUAAGAACAAUAAAAUGAGAAUUGAACACAAGCUUGAUGAUUUCUAAAGCUAAAACUAGAACUGAUCUUCUAUCUCCAACAUUCAAGAAGCUCUCACUGUCUCCAAAUCUCUUACUGACCUGAA